CCAUUUUGAAGGUUUGGUAAGAGUAGGCGGGACAAGCACUCCGCGGUGCUUGUUUCCCAGGGCGGUCAGCCCUAAGAGAACACAGCCCGUGAUCAUGGGCCGCUGUGACUCUCUUUCCUGUCAAGGGCACCGAGCCGACUCGUCGCCGAGGCCAUGACUGGGCACCACUUCUCUGGAAAAUUUCUUUGAACUCCUGGAUCUGGGGAGGAGCGAGAAACGUGUGAGGAAACAGUAAAGGUUCUCCACGCCUCUCUGAUAAAUUCAUUGCCCCCACUGUCCUAGGGCAGCAGGAGCCUUGGGAUACACACAGCCCCACAAGAUACGUGUGUUAUUUUCUCGGAUCAUCAGAACAGGAACUUGAGACUCAGGAUGAUUAAGCAACUUGCCUGAAGUCACUUAAAGAAAUGCAUGGAGGGACAAGGGACUAAUGUCCAGGACUGCCUGGCUGCAAAGCCAGCUCUGGGCUAAGUCUUCAAAAACACACAUUUCCCACUAGACCCAUACUCUGUAGGGACAAGACCUUGAUGGAAACUUGAGGUAGAUUUGUUUUUCUGUCCCUCAAAGGGCACCUUUCAUAAUGCCUGCUUUGAACAGUGGAAGGGCCCUGACUGGUCUGUGGCUCUUGGUGUCCUAAAGGAGGGGUUGGCAGUUUGUCUGUGACUGAGAAGUAAGUCAGGCCACAUCCCCAAAGUCCCUGAAGCUGGAGCAACAGGGAUGCCAGGCCUCGGUCCCUGACACAUAAACUGCAUCGUCGCUUAGAGUGACUUCCGCCUGGAAGCUGGCACUUGGGGGGGACUUGGCAGUAGAGCAGGCUAAGCCCUUUGGGAGCAUCUGAUCCAAAGUCCUUACUGUACUUACUUGGAGUGACAACAGAGGAAGAGGAGAAAGUCACGUGCCAGUGCUGACCAUGCGACCUGGGAGUACAAAGUUUUCAAUAAUGUUCCUUGAGUAUAAGUCUGUUCAUUUAUAAGUUACAUACCUGGCUGUCAGUACUGUUCUAUAUUAUGCAUAUUUAAAUCUAUCCCCAAAUUUAAAAAAUUAAAGAAUGAAAUAAAAUAUACACCUAGAAAUUCUACUAUUUUUCUCCUCUCCCCAGUUGGGUUGUGUUAAGGAUAAAUUUGGAGCACUCACUUUGGAGAACUCUGGACCAGCCUCCCUAUGAGCUGGGUAAUUUAGGAACCUGAGGUCGGAUGUUCAGUUUUAGGUGGUUUUUUAUUCUAAGCACCACCCCCCCACCCCACUGCCAUAAUAUCAUUACUUCAUUCAGUUUUUUUAUUGUGGUAAAAUAUACAUCACAUAAAAUUUACCAUCUUAGCCAUCUUUAAUUGUACAGGUCAGUGGUAUUAAGAACAUUCACCUUGUUAUACAGUCAUCACUAGUCAUCUAGAAAUGGAGGCAUUUCUAGAACUUUUUCAUCUCCCCAAAGUGAAACUCUCCCCCCCUUAAACAAUAACUCCCCAUUCUCCAGGCCCUGAUAAUCACCAUUCUAUGUUUUGCUUUUAUGAAUUUGACUACUCAAGUCAAUAAUUAUUUUUGAGCUCCUAUGAUGACUCAGGUGGUGGUUUGGCACAUGAGAUUCAGAGGUGAGCAAAGCAAAUGAAACUCCCACCCUCCGACCUCCAAUAAAGUCUGCUUUAAUGAACUAAACUUACCUAACCUAGCUCUGCUUUAGGUUAGCAUCUUUGGAGAGCCCAGGAGAUGGGCUGUAUCCAAGCUGGUGGCCAAGUGCGGAAUACAGGGCAGGUGAGAUGAGAAGGGUUGGGGGAGGUGAGGCUGGAAUUGAGAGAGGUGUGACAGGUGACUACUGGAUAAAAGGGAAAUACCUUCCCACAGAAUUCCUAAAGAAUUGGAGGAGAGAUGGGACUUCCUGCAUCACAUAGGUUGAAGCCAUAUUUGUUUUAAUUGAAUGCUAUAAGAGUCAUCCCAAAAGGCUAGCGGGCAUGCGAACAUUGGGGUGUCCUCAUUAUCAGUAACCCGCGCGUGACUCAGGCUUCGGAGCUUGGGAGGAACAGGUGUCAGGUGUGGAGAGAAGAGAGUGGGUAGGGGCUACACCCCCCGGGGUGCAGCUUGGCUGUGUGGCUAGAAGCCUGCCCACAUCUGACUGGAUCCCACGCUCUGCCCCUCCGCCUGCCUUUGCCUCAGGAUAAAAUUAUACAUUUCCAAUUACAGGGCUGGUCAAAAAUCAAUACAAAGGUGGGAGAGAACAGAUCAUUUUUCUUACGGAAGUAACCAUUUUCAUUAAUUUUUCAUUAGUGCUGCCUUUGUUUUGCUAUCCAUCACCCGCAGAGCUGCAGCCUGCGUCAGUGAGUGUGCGUGCCUCUUGGCUUCAGGAGUUACUGCUUGAUAAAGCCAGCAGGUCACUGCCCAGGACUACUGCCUGCGCAGCUGGUGUAGGUGACUGUUUUGUGACCAUCCUGUUGGUUGGAAUGUGCUUAAAAACACCAAAACUCAACCCUAACUCUAUUAUGGAAAUUCUCUUUGUAGCACAUGUUGGGGUUCGUUGCAUUUCUUUUCAGGGGUGUACAUAAGUCAAGCCCUUCGUGGACUCUUGGUGCUGAUUGACAUGAGGGGUCUGUUUGGCUGGUGUACUUGGCUGAGGGCCAGCUGUAUGCCUUUGGGACCUUGGGCCUCUGCCUGAGUGAGGGCGGUUUCUUGUGUCUUGACAUGUGCUUCUCUGUGCUUUUAAUGCAAUUAUUUUAUCCUUAAACUCAGUUCCCUAAGUUCAGCCUGCCCCAUCUCUCUAUGAAGCCUUCUCCACUCCCCAUUAUGGCAGAAUUGCUUGGCCAGUAAACCUUAUCCCCCGCCCCUCCCCUCCCAUUAUGCUCUUCAUACAAGUGUGUUGACUACUCACGUGGGUCUCCCCCUAACAAACCUUUAGUUAUCUGAGAACAGGGGCAGUGGCUUUUUAGUUUUCAAUUGUCAACACCUAACAGCACCUGGCCAAUGGUAGGUGAUUAAUGAAUGUCAUUAAAAAACAUAAAAACAAAAGACAAAGGCAACUGGAAGUCAUUCCUCACUUUGUGUAAGCAAGGGUAAGACCCCUCAUUAGCAGUGGGAGGUGAAGCAGGCCUGACAUUACCCCCAAAUGACUUAUCCUAUUGUAAAAGAACUAGGUGCUAAUCCCAGCUCUGUGGCUAAUUAGCUGUGUAACCGUGAAUAAGUCAUUAACACUGAGUACUUAUCAAUAAAGGGGGGAUUCUCUUCCAGCCCUAAUGUCCUUAACCCCAAGAACCUCUGCCCUUGGAAAAGAAUCCUCCCUCCCAUACGCUCACUCGCUCACUCGUCAAGCUGAAUGACACAUGAGCUUUCUGGUGCUAAUUCCCUCGGCUGGCCCCUACCGCUAGGCCGCUAGGCUGCUUCUCCCUCCUUCUCACACGGAGGCUUGUCCGGAGCUCUGCUUGCCACACUGGUUGUUACCAGCCUCCUCCUCAGCUUUGUGCCAUCAAUUCUCUCUGGACCUUUUACUGUUUUCUACAAUGUAUUUAUAUAUGACUACAUUUGGGACAAUCACCCUCAUAGAAAACAUUUUCACACCCCCGCCAAAAUUCCCUCAAGUCCCUUUCUAGCCACUGGCCCCCACUCCCCCACCUCUACCCUAGAGGUAACCACUGCUUUAGUCUUGCCUGUUCUGGAACAUCAUAUAAAUGGAACUGCGUAGCAAGUAUUCCUGUGGUUGCUUGACACUUGAUUCCACAUAACUUUCUUGAGAUCCGUUCAUGUUGUUGCAUAUGUCAGUAGUUCAUUCUUUUAAAUCACUGAGUAGUAUUCUGUUGGUUGAAUAAACCACAAUUUGUUUACCGAUUCUCUAUUGUUGGAGGACAUUUGGAUCGUUUCUG